rnacentral:rRNA from 1 species
UACAGAGGGGGCAAGCGUUGUUCGGAAUUACUGGGCGUAAAGGGCGCGUAGGCGGCCUUCUAAGUCGAACGUGAAAUCCCUCGGCUUAACCGGGGAACUGCGUCUGAUACUGGAUGGCUUGAGAUUGGGAGAGGGAUGCGGAAUUCCAGGUGUAGCGGUGAAAUGCGUAGAUAUCUGGAGGAACACCGGUGGCGAAGGCGGCAUCCUGGACCAAUACUGACACUGAGGAGCGAAAGCCAGGGGAGCAAACGGG